rnacentral:piRNA from 1 species
GGAGGGUGUCAUUUCUUGUUCUGAGAAGUG